rnacentral:rRNA from 1 species
CCUACGGGGGGCUGCAGUGAGGAAUAUUGGUCAAUGGGCGCGAGCCUGAACCAGCCAAGUCGCGUGAGGGAGGACGGCCCUACGGGUUGUAAACCUCUUUUGCCGGGGAGCAACGGGCGCCACGUGUGGCGUCACUGAGAGUACCCGGAGAAAAAGCAUCGGCUAACUCCGUGCCAGCAGCCGCGGUAAUACGGAGGAUGCGAGCGUUAUCCGGAUUUAUUGGGGUUAAAGGGUGCGUAGGCGGAUCGUUAAGUCAGUGGUCAAAUUGAGGGGCUCAACCCCUUCCCGCCAUUGAAACUGGCGUUGGUGAGUGGAGGAGGGGUAUGGGGAGGGGGGGGUGGAGCGGUGAGAUGCAUAGGUAGGGCGCAG